rnacentral:rRNA from 1 species
UACAGAGGGUGCGAGCGUUAAUCGGAAUUACUGGGCGUAAAGCGCACGUAGGCGGCUUGGUAUGUCGGGUGUGAAAUCCCCGGGCUCAACCUGGGAACUGCAUCCGAAACUGCCUUGCUCGAGUAUGGGAGAGGGAAGUGGAAUUUCCGGUGUAGCGGUGAAAUGCGUAGAUAUCGGAAGGAACAUCAGUGGCGAAGACGACUUCCUGGACCAAUACUGACGCUCAGGUGCGAAAGCGUGGGGAGCAAACAGG